UUCAGCCUAAAUAAUCCAUCUGAAACUAAGCAGGUUUGGGCCGGGCCAGAAUUUAGAUGGGAGACCAACUAAGAAAGCUGGGCUUCUGCUGAAA
rnacentral:rRNA from 1 species